AAUAAAUUAAUCUUUCAAUUUUUAGCUAUAAUAUUUGACGCUUUAUCUUAUUAAAAAAGUUUACGAUUAAUAUUUUUGUCUUUAUUAGAUGAUAAAUUAUGAAUAGUAAUUUACACGUGACUAUUUUAUUCUCAAUUUCUUACAAAAGUUUUAAAUAAGACGGAUGGUCAAACGUUAGACACAGAUGGUCA
rnacentral:pre_miRNA from 1 species